rnacentral:rRNA from 1 species
ACUCCACAUACGCAUCCUUUGCUGAGGAUGCGGUUAACGGAGCGAAAGCGACGUUCAACCGCAAAAGAAGCAGAGGGGGCUUAGUGGUGGGGUGACUGCGUACCUUUUGUAUAAUGGGUCAGCGACUUAUAUUCUGUAGCAAGGUUAACCGAAUAGGGGAGCCGGAGGGAAACCGAGUCUUAAUUGGGCGUUAAGUUGCAGGGUAUAGACCCGAAACCCGGUGAUCUAGCCAUGGGCAGGUUGAAGGUUGGGUAACACUAACUGGAGGACCGAACCGACUAAUGUUGAAAAAUUAGCGGAUGACCUGUGGCUGGGGGUGAAAGGCCAAUCAAACCGGGAGAUAGCUGGUUCUCCCCGAAAGCUAUUUAGGUAGCGCCUCGUGAAUUCAUCUCCGGGGGUAGAGCACUGUUUCGGCUAGGGGGCCAUCCCGGCUUACCAACCCGAUGCAAACUGCGAAUACCGGAGAAUGUUAUCACGGGAGACACACGGCGGGUGCUAACGUCCGUCGUGAAGAGGGAAACAACCCAGACCGCCAGCUAAGGUCCCAAAGUCAUGGUUAAGUGGGAAACGAUGUGGGAAGGCCCAGACAGCCAGGAUGUUGGCUUAGAAGCAGCCAUCAUUUAAAGAAAGCGUAAUAGCUCACUGGUCGAGUCGGCCUGCGCGGAAGAUGUAACGGGGCUAAACCAUGCACCGAAGCUGCGGCAGCGACGCUGAUGCGUUGUUGGGUAGGGGAGCGUUCUGUAAGCCUGCGAAGGUGUGUCGUGAGGC